ensembl:ncRNA T09B4.16 ncRNA
CAAUGUGUGCUGAGCACCAGUUCCGUCGUCGACCAUUGCCACGUCACAGAACUCCUGGCGAGAC